rnacentral:lncRNA from 1 species
GCUGUGAUCUGCUCCACGCACAGGCUCACCAGAGACCUCUCUAUGCCUAGCCUUUGCCCAGGCCCACUGGGACUGAUUUUUAUCAUCUCUCUCUUCUCAUGAGUGCUGGUCUCCAAAUUCCCUAAGUCCCCAAGAAUGAAAGGGACAUUCCGCUCUCUGAAGGUCAUCUCCCUGAGGGCCAUCAUCCCAGCUUUCAUCUGUUGUCCCAAGAUCUUGCUUAAGGAAACUAUACACAGAUAAUGUCUACUUUCCUCGGUGAAAACUCAUCACCCACCCACAGGGCUGAGCCCUUUCCUCUGGCCCUAAGAUGUCAUUGUCUAAGGUUCUAGGAACACAGCCUGCUCUGGGAGUCUCCCGUCUCCGGUGCCCCAGCCUCCCUGGUCAUGCCUCAGUAGGGAGAAAGAGGGUGCUUCAUUUGUGAAAAGCUAACUGCCAGCUGCUGCUCUGCGUUCUCCAGGACGAAAAAGCAGACGCUCGAGUAAAUAUGGAGGCUAAAAGGAGUUGUUCCCAGAAUUACCAGAUGAUAAAAAUCAUAAAGUACUUAAAACAAAGGAGCUUUGUGAAUCACUUUACAAGCAACAGAGAAGACCUAGUGGACAAUGUGAGAGGUGCGAAACGCUGGAAUUGGGAGGCCCCUUAGGAGGGGCUGGAGCUGGCCGAGUCUCUGAUGACACUCAGGAAAGGCCAGCAUGAUGAAAUGGAAACUGCUGUGAGUUUGGGAGACCAUCCAGACUGUGUUAUCAGGACAGUGAAUUACCAGUGACAUCCAAAAUCCAGAGAUUUCACAUAGAAAUCUGGGCCCAACUGCUGUGUUGCAGGCUUCUUUGGUUCCGGAAGCCGAGUGGGCAGCCUCUUCCUCUGCCAGCCCCCUGGAGCUCUCGGCAGUGCUCACAAGGUCACUCCAGUCACUCUGGGGCUCCUUCCUUGGGCUGCUUUGAGUGGAGUCCCUGUAACCUCAGGUGGAGUUUUGGAGUUCUGCCUCCACCCAGCUCUUUGACUUCUUCUCUGUCUCCCAUUCACACAUUUUCUCUUCUUUUCUGAAAAAUACUCACCAUCUGUGCUCCUUUCUACCUUUGGCCUUUGCUUUGCAGUCCCACACUCUGUGAGCUGUGCACCCCAUUUCCACUCCUGCUGGUUAAUCCUUGUGCAUAUUUUCAAAUCCAGCUUUCUCAGGCCUCGGCCUGGGUCCAGUUUCCUAAUUAGUUUCAUAACACUGUGGUUUCUCUUUUGUUAUAAUGAAAAAUAAAUGGUAAAAUUAAUGGUUUUAAUAUCUAUCUUUCUGGCUAGAAUGGAAGUUCUAAACUGGUAGAGACCAAGUCUGGGGUGGUACCUAAACAUAAUAAGCAACCAAUCCAUGAAUGC